UACAGAGGUCCCAAGCGUUGUUCGGAUUCAUUGGGCGUAAAGGGUGCGUAGGCGGCGCGGUAAGUCGGAUGUGAAAUCCCCAGGCUUAACCUGGGAACUGCAUCCGAUACUGGAUGGCUUGAAUCCGGGAGAGGGAUGCAGAAUUCCAGGUGUAGCGGUGAAAUGCGUAGAUAUCUGGAGGAAUACCGGUGGCGAAGGCGGCAUCCUGGACCGGCAUUGACGCUGAUGAGCGAAAGCUAGGGGAGCAAACGGGAUUAGAAACCCCUUGUAG
rnacentral:rRNA from 1 species